UUGCAAGCUUCAUAACAGGGGAGUAGAUAAAGGGAAAUUAAGAAAGUGGGUGCUACAGUAUAUCAGAGGCACAAUUUCUGCAUCCAUGAGGAAGAUGAGGCAAUAUUACCCAGGAUUUCUGUGUGGAGCUCUAUAUCUAAUUGCUGCAGUAAAAAUACAUCAAAUGGAUGAUGAAACAUCUUUCAGAAGCUAAAAGAACAUCUUUAACAUUUUCAUUUCAAAGCCUGUCAAUAAAAGAAUUCCAGGAGCAGGUGCCAUUUUUGAUGUUGGUUUCUGUAAU